rnacentral:rRNA from 1 species
AUUGAACGCUGGCGGCAGGCCUAACACAUGCAAGUCGAACGAGUGGCGGACGGGUGAGUAAUGUCUGGGAAACUGCCCGAUGGAGGGGGAUAACUACUGGAAACGGUAGCUAAUACCGCAUCCCAUCGGAUGUGCCCAGAUGGGAUUAGCUCGUAGGUGGGGUAACGGCUCACCUAGGCGACGAUCCCUAGCUGGUCUGAGAGGAUGACCAGUCACACGUGAACUGAGAAACGGUCCAUACUCCUACGGGAGGCAGCAGUGGGGAAUAUUGCACAAUGGGCGCAAGCCUGAUGCAGCCAUGCCGAGUGUAUGAAGAAGGCCUUCGGGUUGUAAAGUACGUUCAGCGAGGAGGCGUUACUCGCAGAAGAAGCACCGGCUAACUCCGUGCCAGCAGCCGCGGUAAUUC